rnacentral:rRNA from 1 species
UACAGAGGGGGCAAGCGUUGUUCGGAAUUACUGGGCGUAAAGGGCGCGUAGGCGGCCUGCUAAGUCGAACGUGAAAUCCCCGGGCUCAACCCGGGAACUGCGUCCGAUACUGGUAGGCUUGAAUUCGGGAGAGGGAUGCGGAAUUCCAGGUGUAGCGGUGAAAUGCGUAGAUAUCUGGAGGAACACCGGUGGCGAAGGCGGCUCGCUGGGCCAUUCCUGACGCUGAGACGCGAAAGCUAGGGGAGCGAACAGG